UACAGAGGGUGCGAGCGUUGUCCGGAAUCACUGGGCGUAAAGGGCGCGUAGGCGGUCUGCUAAGCGUGUGGUGAAAGCUCGGGGCUCAACCCCGAGUCGGCCAUGCGAACUGGUGGACUGGAGCAUGUCAGAGGCAGGCGGAAUUCCGGGUGUAGCGGUGGAAUGCGUAGAGAUCCGGAAGAACACCAGUGGCGAAGGCGGCUCACUGGACCGGAACUGACGCUGAGGCGCGAAAGCGUGGGGAGCAAACAGG
rnacentral:rRNA from 1 species